AUGCAGGGCAAACACAGUGGCGACUGAACCACUAACUGCUGUAAAAAUCGUUAGAAUAAUCUUUAAUGCUAUGAUAAGUUGUUUAGAACAUUCGGGAGGUGGCUGAAGCCAGCCUCAAGGAAGAGUGAGACCUUGGAGCAGAUGGAAGCAAGAAAAGGGGGAUGGAAGCGAUUUUGACGCUGUAAAUAAUGGAACUUGGAGCCAAGCUAUUUCGUCAAAAAUGAAUUGCUUACCCAAAAUCAAGAAGAAACGUCCCCGGCCAGCUGGACCAGACAAACAACUGUCUAUCGAAGCAAGAUCAACACACACUGUCGGUGAAGCGACCAAAGCACUAAGUGCUUUAGCAGAGAGGACUUGGAUGGCUGAAGUCCACAGAGAGGUUUAUGCAGCGCUAUGCUUGCAAAUUUUCCAUUUGCAUGUUCAGAUCACAGUAAAUAUCCCUCUCUUUCUCUCAUGAGAUACUGAGCAAGAGGUAAAAUGUUAUGUUGCCCAGCAAGAUUUAAUUAGCAUUUAGAGCCUGGCAAGAAGUUAUUGUCUUAUAUACCUGUGCUGCUCACACUACUAAGAGGGAGGAAAGUGGGGUCUUUAACCCGCAGCAUUUCUACUUACUGAUUAUAUAGGAUGUUUGAAAUGCUGAUACUUCCCUUUUCUAGUAUGUGCCCUGCACAUGCAUAUUUACAUUAGAUCCAGUCUGCAGCCACGUUUACAUCCUGGAAAAAUCUAUAUUCUUGGAAAAGGCGUUUUGAAGAAAAAGUGAAUUCCACUUGAAGUUCACGUGUGUCUUUAUUGCACAUGCUGUCUCCAUGUUCUGACUUUCAAUCAACAGACACAUUUCAUCCCCGGUGGAGAACUGUGCUGUAAACACAGCCAUACGGUAAAGGAGUUCAUUAUUCCAACUGAGUUUGAAAACAACUCACUGCGGUUCUGACAUUCUUUGAGCGGGAGAUCAUUUUCGAAACAGCCCACUGCACUAAAUGCACAGCUGAUUAUGAAAACUACUGAUUUUGCUGGUUUGUCUGCUCUGCACUAAUCAAAAAAUCCUAUGCAUUGGUGGGGGCCCAAAAGAGCGCAAAAAGUGCUCCACACAGGAGGCAGAUCCCUGCGUGUUAAUACUUCAAUUUUCCAGAAGGCUUUUUUGGAGCGUGGGUCAAAUCUGUUGAGUAUAGACUUUUGGCUGUUAGUUCCCCUAUUACUGUUGAGGUACAAGCACAAUCAGCUUUUCCAUGUGGUGGACAUUCCACACCACAUCUGCUUCCAAUAAAUCUUCAUGUCCAGCUGUUUCAGA